ensembl:lncRNA
CCUGAUGGUGCAGUGAUGUUGAGACGACGACGGUGCUUAUAGACGAUGUCUCCCCCUCUUUAAAAGAAGGGAGGUGCCUGGACGGGCCCCGGAGCGAGUCACUGAGGCGUGGGCCAUGCAGCUGCAGCGAGUCGCUCACUCUCCGGGAUGAACCCACUCCUACUAACACAAGCACUUUUUUUUAUCUCCUGGAGGGAUUUGGUUAGAUCUCCCAGGGGAUUUCUCCAUCAAUAUCCCCUUGUCGUUCCAGCGGCUCUGCAGCUCUUUGUGCUGGACCUCCACUGCCCUUUACCCGCCGUACGCCCUCAAUGUGACGAACGAGGAAUCAGCACCUUCCUCCACCUCUAUCUCUCCCCGCUGCCAGUCACACGUGACAUUCGCGCUGUGCCGCCUGACACUUUCAAAGCCUUUUUUUUUUUCUCUCUUCUCUCCCUAUUUCAGUUUCCGUCCUCAUUCAUUGCUCGCUUGCUCGCUCACACCAACACUCUCGGCGUCACACCUUUCUCUCUACGCUGAUGUUCGUCAGACGCUUCUGUACUCCUGCCCUGCCUUUCUUUUCAACACAAGCCAUUUCUUUUCAUUUACUUUUCAAUACAUCGUCUGCUGAGUGUGCAGAAAUGAAGGCCUUCACAUUUAUUUGGACUAUCAUUGUGUGGCUGAUCAUUAGCACGUGUACACCCACUGGUGCACGCACACACCCAUACAUGCAAGGGAAACCAUGGAGAAAAGUAGAACUGUUCACACAUACACACGCUCGUACACACACGCAUCCUUUCCAGAAGGUUAUCAGAUGGGUGUUUAACAAGCCAGGGGUCACACUGAAAUGGCCCAAUUACAGAAGAUGUCAGAUAGCUGUGCUCUCUUAUGGAAGAGGGAAUAAAAUGUUUUUUCUCAUGCAAUAUGAAUCCAUGCGAUGAAACCAGUGGUAAAGAAGAGAAUGCAUUCACCAGGGGAUGGUUGUGGUGUUUGUUUGAUUGCAUCAGUGAACAUGCCUCUCCAAGGGUGACUUCAUCAACGCUGGCAUACUUUACAUUCCGUCCAUCUGUUGGACGUCUAAUAAAUACUCCUUAUCAGUGUUUCAAGGCUUCAUUCCUCCAGGGCAGAUGAAUGAAGUUAAGAAUGAUGUUAAGAAUUAUGUAGAUAUUUUAAGCUAAUAAAUUCACUUUUUCACAGGCAAGAAUGCAAUGUCCUCAUAAUAUAAAAAAUUGGACAAAAGAUUUAUUUAUAUUUUUGGAAGCCUUGACAGUCUGCAAGCUGAGGAAGGAUUCUGUGGAUGCCAGUGAUGUUGGGGAAUUCUCUGAGGCUACUAAUGGGUUGACUGAAUGUCUAUGGCAUAUGUCUUGAAAUGUGAAUAUAUUCUCCCUAAUGGGAAAUACACUGUACAUAUUCCCGAAAAUAUGCCAGAUGCAUUAAGAUGCAUCAGUCCGCUUUCAAACUCUCAAUGCACCCGUGAACCCACUUGCAAACCAUCUUCCUUGUCUGUAAUUAUCUAUAUUUUGCCCAAGCAUUAAUCUGUGAAGCGUGACAGAAACAUUGUUUUUGGAAAGAAUAAAUUCAGUUAAAAAAUACUCGUUAUGUAUCUGAGGGCGAUAAAACAAGGCAUUACAAUGUUGAACUAGUCCAUACUGUUACCAGAUUCCAGCUGCUUUCGAUGUGUCUCUAGGGGUUGCCACUAUCAACAAAGCUGCAAUUUCACAAACCCCAAAUUCCCCUUUCGACAAGCAUGCGACCAAGUCCACAAAUCAAAAGCACACACACACACAUGCAGGAACGAGAUGAAGGCUGUUCAAAAGGACAACCCGCUUCAUUACAAACAUGGGAACAAUUCCGUUCUGUCUAAUUGUAAUCCAGGCAUUUUUUUGAAGAGCAUUAUGUAUUCCCGUGGGCGGUCUGAGACAAGAAAAGCAAUUUCCACAGCUGUCUGGAUGAUAAGAGGUACACACUCUGUAAAGCCGUGCAUUUCAUCUGUGGACUGGCUGACAACAGGGAACAUCAUUCUCACCAGGAACCCCCUUGUACACACGAGUUGACAAAGUGGUUGACUUAGUUCUGCGCCUGCCCCCCUUUUUUCUUAUUUUAAUGUCUUGCAGAAAUGUCUAUGGAGGAACAGUUUAAGGCACCAUGGAGGAGGAAAAAAAAUAAAGCAUCUGUGUCAAUUAUUAAAUAUUGUCUUUUGUCUUGGGGAUGAAUAGUCACAGGGUGGUACCAGUGGGCAAGACUCGUAGGCAGUCUAUAAGAGUGUACCAUUCAUUAAAGCAAAAUCAUGAUUUGAUUUCAAUAAAAAAAAUUAAAAUUGUGUACAUAUAUCG